rnacentral:lncRNA from 1 species
AGAGAAGUUGUUGUUGAGGGGCAGGGAUGUGAGCUCCGUCUAGACCGGCAAUAAUCUCUCCAUUGCUAAGGGAGAGGGAUGUGAGCUCCGUCUAGACUGGUAAGAAUCUCUCCAGACAGUGCAUUAAAAGAGAGUUUGAGAUAGCGGAGAUGGGUGAAAUUUCAGGUGAUAUUGGCAGGAAGCUUUCCGAAGAGUUUGUUGUUGGUUAGGGAGAGAGUUUCGAGAGAGGACUGGAGACUAUGAUAAAGAGGAGUGAAGGUAAUUUGUUUUUUUUUUUUUCCUCCUAGAGAGAAAUUACUUGGGG